GAAGUUUAUUAACUCUCAUUUCCUUGGGGAUGUUUCCAGGCAGCUCCUGCUUUCUCUGGAAGGAUUACUCGGUCAAAAGCCAAGAUCCAAGAAGGAAAAUCUAUGAUACCAAUUCUGAUACCAACUGUAUCUAAGUCCUCUAUGGUCAGUGCCCAAGGGCAGAGCGUGCGCUCUACACAGGCAGGACAUAAACAGAUGAGCACAGCCAAAGUGGCUGAAAAAGAGAAAGGUAUGGAAAUACAGCUGAAUCUGAAAGCUGGGGUUUUCUGGGGGAAAGAUCCACAGGACAUUUUUGGGUGUAGGA
rnacentral:lncRNA from 1 species